rnacentral:rRNA from 1 species
GAUGAACGCUGGCUACAGGCUUAACACAUGCAAGUCGAGGGGAAACGACGGGGAAGCUUGCUUCCCCGGGCGUCGACCGGCGCACGGGUGAGUAACGCGUAUCCAACCUGCCUCUGACUGAGGGAUAACCCGCCGAAAGUCGGCCUAAUACCUCAUGGUAUCGUCUGCGGGCAUCCAACGACGAUUAAAGAUUUCAUCGGUCAGGGAUGGGGAUGCGUCUGAUUAGCUUGUUGGCGGGGUAACGGCCCACCAAGGCUACGAUCAGUAGGGGUUCUGAGAGGAAGGUCCCCCACAUUGGAACUGAGACACGGUCCAAACUCCUACGGGAGGCAGCAGUGAGGAAUAUUGGUCAAUGGGCGAGAGCCUGAACCAGCCAAGUAGCGUGCAGGAAGACGGCCCUAUGGGUUGUAAACUGCUUUUAUGCGGGGAUAAAGUGAGGGACGGGUCCCUCAUUGCAGGUACCGCAUGAAUAAGGACCGGCUAAUUCCGUG